UACGGAGGGUGCGAGCGUUGUUCGGAAUCACUGGGCGUAAAGGGCGUGUAGGCGGUCCGCUAAGUCUGAUGUGAAAGCCCGGGGCUCACCCCCGGAAGGGCAUUGGAAACUGGCGGACUCGAGUCCCGGAGAGGAAGGUGGAAUUCCUGGUGUAGCGGUGAAAUGCGUAGAUAUCAGGAGGAAUACCGGUGGCGAAGGCGGCCUUCUGGACGGUGACUGACGCUGAGACGCGAAAGCCAGGGGAGCGAACGGG
rnacentral:rRNA from 1 species